rnacentral:lncRNA from 1 species
CAUGUCAUAUUUUUUUCAGCGAGAAUGAUUGUAGUGACGACAUGUGUAUAAAUCACUUCGUAAAUAUAGUCUAGGGGAUAAACUCUAUAUAGUAGUAAAUAUAUAUUAAAAAACUUAUAAACCAUGGCUAAAAGUGCGUAAAAUCCAAGGCCUAUCAACUCUCCCAGACUUACCCUCAUACUUAUCCUCAAGCAAAACAUACAUGCAGUUUUAUGAAACAGGUUUGAAAACAGCAUAGAUUCACAGAUUUAAAACUCAGAAUCAUCACCUUAGGAAAUCCUAAUCUCAUAAGCACAUUAUACCAUAUCCAAGUCAACAACUUAGCAAAUCAUGUCUCACAAUCCCCUCUACCAACCUCAAUUCUUGCAUAAAUAAAAAUGUAGGUUUUACCUUGGGAGUAUCGAUCACAUGAUGCAAAGAUGCUCAAACAAGUAUCUGGACCUGAAGGUAAAUAAGAGUUUCUUUCCUCUCUCUCUACUAAUUUCUCUCUCAGUCAAAGUUUGCUUAUAUUGCAAGAUCAUUGACCAAGAUUGGACAAACUUCCAUGAAUCAAGCUUUAAUGGUUUUGGCCAUCAAAUCAUAUCAUGCUCACUUCGUCUUGACAUGUAUCCUAGGAUUAUUUGUGAAUCAAGCCUUAAUGGUUGUAGCCACCAAGUCUUGUUAUAAUCUUUUACCUAUAUAAUUCUUAUGAAUCAAGCCUUAAUAGUUGUAGCCACCAAGUCCUGUUCGAAUCCUUUACCUAUAGAAUUCUUAAGAAUCAAGCCUUAAUAGUUGUAGCCACCAAGUCCUGUUCGAAUCCUUUACCUAUAGAAUUCUUA